rnacentral:lncRNA from 1 species
GGUCAUUUCUUGCUGAGAUUAUGAUCCUGUUAGCCUUGUAAUUUAUCUGACCUCCUUAAAACAUUAUUGUUAUUUGAGACAGUGUCCCGCUGUCACCCAGGCUGGAGUACAGUGAGCUGUGAGGUGACCACGGCUCACAGCCUCAACCUUGGGCUCCAGCAGUCCUCCUGCCUUGGCUGGAUUCAGUGCUGGGGUUACAGUGACAGUGCUGUAGGAAAGAGUAAGCUGGAAAAAGAGAAGGUUCAGAACGACAGUGCUGACGCAGACAUCACACAGCGG